UCACAUGGCCGGGGGAAAAAUGUUGUACUACUAACGCGAACUGUGAAGGGUAGACUGAUGAUGCGGAACCACGUAGGGCGCGGAGGCUGAGCCACAUGCGGUGCAGCAUAUAAUACAAGCAUAUGAGCAGAGGAAAAGACGGUUACCGUUAUUUUGUUUUUGUAUUAUUUUAACGUUGUUAGUGGAGAGAAACUGUGUGGUUUGUUUUACUUAACGUUACCUCUUUGUGUCCCGUCCUGCGCUUCACCUCCGCCCAGUACGGGUUUAUAUUUGAGGACUGAAAAAUGUCCACAGCUACUCCUCCUCCACCACCACCACCACCACCACCGCCCUCUCAUCCAUCCCAUGGACACCAGCGUAAAAGUAUUACUCCAUCCCCUGGGUAUGCAGCAAUACCAUAUUCUUCUGACAGCCCUCCAGUCCAAGAGACAAGUCCUUCACCAGAGGCUAUACAUGGUGCAGAGGGUAUACCAGCUUCAUCACUACUCUCAGUUCAAAAUGGACCCCAGUCUCCUCCGUCGGAAGGGCAAAAAGACAAUCCCUCUGAUAGUGAGGUGAGACACCAUCCCGUGCAGGAAACUGACCCUGUACCGCAGACAGAGCAGCAAGACGACGUAACUAAUCAGAUGGACCAGACUGGAGAGGACCAAUUGACCUGAAGCACUUUAGUUACUUAAAAACAUUUACCAGUACUUGAAAAGGCCGUUCUGAACUGCACAGAAACACUGUUGCAUGGUAGGUACAGUUGAGUGAGCACAUCACUUUAUGUUCAGGCCAAAGCUGUUUGGAUAUGUUACUUCAGCCUUCAAUCAUCAUUACCAUCAUCAUCCUCGUUACUUGCAGCUGAAUUGAUAAUUUAGUGCUUGGCUUAUUUUCAUGCAAAUUCUAGCCAUAUAGGCCUACUUUAUAGUGUCUUUGAGAAACUCUUAAGCUUAAAAAUAGAUAUUUUAGUUACAUAGCCAUACAAAUCUAAAUGAGCUUAUUGCAGAAAAAAACAAAAUUAUAAAUCAUAAAGCACUGGGUAAAAAAACUUUGAGGGUAUAUUGUUGCAGCUAUUGUCUCUCUGCUCCUGGAGACUGCACAUUUUUACAGCCUGGGUUACAAACUGGGGAUGUGGAUUUUAAAAGACAUAAUUUACCCAGGAGGGAAAUGUUUUGGUUGAAUUAAGGGAAUUGUAAGAUCAAGCAUAUUUGGAGCUUGACCUAUAUAGUUCGCACCAGUGUGCAAACUAUAUCUUUAUAAAGUGAAUUAGUGAUAAAUCACCUUAUGCAUGAAUCAUUCAUCAAUAAUAGCUUAAUUUUAUGCAUGAUCCAUGCUGAUGAAGAUACAAGAAAAAUAGAAAUGCCAGGCAAAAAUUGGAUACUGCCAAUAUUUAAGAGACCCCUCAAAAUUUCAUAAAGCAUCAUGUCUUAUUAAGACGAUCCGAGCUCCCCUGUAAUUGGCACACUGCUUAAGACCUGAAGUCAGGAUAUUUUGCAGUUGCGGCUUUAAUUUUAAGCACACUAUUUUAAUCUGUCUCUCUGAGUUCCCCACAGUUUUAUGGAAUUACUGUAUGUGCAAUACUAAAUAUUGGGAGUACCUCUUUAUUGACAGUAUAUAGAGUAAGAGUACUUAAAUGUACAAUUGCUUGUGAUUUUCUUAAAUUAUCUCAUUUUAUUGUUUUAUUGAAAUUCACAUUUGGAUCAAAUUUUGUUUUUGUCACUUUCCAAAAAUGUUUCCAGAAAUUAAACUCAAGCCUGCUUUGAACACAACAAAAGUUUCUUUUCUUUUCUGCUUCAAGUAAAAACUUGAAAAUACUUUGUUGUCAAUGCUUUAAAAUCAUUACAGUAUAUGCAGGAUGUUACAGCCAUGCUAGCUGCUCUGCGAGGCUGUACUUAGACAGGGCGGUGCUUUGAGCUAAAUGCUAAGGUCAGCAUGCUAACAUGCUCACAAUAACAGUGACAGCAUGCUGAUGUGUAGCAGUGUUUACCAUGUUAACUUCAGUUUAGUGUGUUAACAUGCAAAGAUUUGCUAAUUAGCAGUUAACAAUUCUACAUGUUUUAAGAGAUGUUGAUGAUGAUGAUGAUGGCAAUGCAUUUUUUUCUUACAUCCCAGCAGCUCCAAUUGCUACAUCAACAAAUACAAAAAAUUAAGACAACAAACAAGAAUACACACACUCCACAUAACGUUACAAUCACCAAAGGCAAUAUAUUCCAGACCCUUCAACUGUACAUUUAAUUUGGGAUUAAGUGCCAUGUUACAUUUUAGGAUUGACUGGUGCUCAAGAGUGCUUCAGUUUUACUCUGUGGAAUCGUGGAACCCUGUGUUUCUAAUUGAAGUAUCAAUUUGUAUUUACUGUUUAAGACAUGGUUGGGGUGAGAGACACUUUUAUUGGCCAGCCUUAGUAUGUUAUUAUGGUAAACUGAUUCAUAUUUUCUGAAGGGGUUGACCUACAAUCCUUGAGCAGAUUUUCAUUUGGUGGAACAGUUUUGACUUUAAAGUGGUGGACAAACACUUCAUCACAAUCACAUUAGUAAAAAGUAGUCUACUCACCCCAAAAGACUUAAAGCAGCAGAUAAAAUAAAUUCUUUGUUUUGUCCUUUUGAUAUUAAGGCUGCACUAUUUACAUGAAGACAAGUAUACCAGCAUUUGCUUAAUAGCAUGUCUACUAUAUCAUGUGAUUAUUGUACGUUAUGCAGCUCCAGAGCUGAUUCC